GUGGCAAUGACGGGUAACGGGGAAUUAGGGUUUGAUUCCGGAGAGGGAGCCAGAGAAACUGCUACCACGUCUAAGGAAGGCAGCAGGGGCGCAAAUUACCCAAUCCUAAUACAGGAAGGUAGUGACAAGAAAUAACAAUACAGGACUUAUUGGUUUUGUAAGUGGAAUGAGUUAAGUAUAAACCCCUAUACAAGUAUCAAUUGGAGGGCAAGUCUGGUGCCAGGAGCCGCGGUAAUUCCAGCUCCAAUAGCGUAUAUUAAAGUUGUUGCAGUUAAAAAGCUCGUAGUUGGAUUGCUGUUAAUAUUUAUAUAAAAUAUUUUGAUGAAUAUUUAUAUAAUAUUAACAUAAUUCAUAUUACUAUUUUUUUUUUUAGUAUAGGAAAUUUUCCUUGGAGAAAAUUGGGGGGCUUAAAGCAGGCUGAUGCCUGGAAUCCCCCAGCGGGGAUAAUAUAAAGGAUUUUUAUCUUUUUUAUGGGUCCCAAGACAAGAAUAAUGAUUAAGGGCCCCAGUGGGGGGCAUUGGUUUUUAACAGCCGGAGGGGAAAUCCUAAGAUUUGUUAAGAACAAACUAAGGGAAAGAAUUUGCCAAGGAUGUUUUCAUUAAUCAAGAACGAAAGUUAGG
rnacentral:rRNA from 1 species